rnacentral:lncRNA from 1 species
GUGAUACCCAUAUCCUUUGAAGCAAAAGGGAUGCGUGUGAGUAUGAGGUGUGUGUGUGUGUGUGUGUGAAUGUGUAUGUAGGUAGAGGAGAUGACAUAGGGAAAGAGAGAAGGAAUGAAGAAGAGGGGAUGGGAAUGUGACAAGCUUUUUGGUCGAGGUUCAAUAAGCAUCAGAAAAUAAAAGCAUUGUGGGUAGAGAUGAGAGUAACAGAACAGUCCCGGGGCUUACACCUUGGAACAAGUAGGGUAAUGCUGCCCUUUGAUCUCUAUCACCUCUCACCAAUUUCGUGCACCCUUUCUGUUUCAGGAGGGUAUACAGCAAAGCUGAGAGAAAGAGAGAAUGAGCAAGUGAUAUGUCAAAGAGCCAAAUAUGAUUUUGGAUUUGAUGACCAGUGUCCUUUGAGUGGAAAUCACUAUGUUAACUCGGACCUGGAAGAAUUUAGAAUGCCUUGUUGAUCUGAAUGUCUUCAUCACUGCAUUCGGCGGGCUUUUUUUUUUUUUAAGCUUGCUAUACACUUGACUUCUAGAAUUUGCAACUUGUAAAACAUGGCAACAAUUUGCAUGUGCUUGGAGUUGCUUAUUUCCUCCCAAUAGGUAUGGUCUCUUAAAACUAUUUCUAAUAGUAGAAGAUGAGUAAUUUGCUAAUAAUCUAUGAUAAAUCUUUAUGUUCAGGAUGAAAGAAAUGUUUAAUUAGAAAAU